rnacentral:rRNA from 1 species
GACGAACGCUGGCGGCGUGCUUAACACAUGCAAGUCGAGCGGAAAGGCCCUUCGGGGUACUCGAGCGGCGAACGGGUGGGUAACACGUGAGUAACCUGCCUCGGACUCUGGGAUAAGCCUGGGAAACUGGGUCUAAUACCGGAUGUUCAUCUCCUGCUGCAUGGUGGGAGGUGGAAAGUGUUUAGCGGUUCGGGAUGGGCUCGCGGCCUAUCAGCUUGUUGGUGAGGUAAUGGCUUACCAAGGCUUUUACGGGUAGCCGGCCUGAGAGGGCGACCGGCCACACUGGGACUGAGAUACGGCCCAGACUCCUACGGGAGGCAGCAGUGGGGAAUAUUGCGCAAUGGGCGGAAGCCUGACGCAGCGACGCCGUGUGAGGGAUGACGGCCUUCGGGUUGUAAACCUCUUUCACCAGGGACGAAGCUUUUGUGACGGUACCUGGGGAAGAAGCGCCGGCCAACUACGUGCCAGCCGCCGCGGUAA